UCUUAGCUUGCUAAGGCCGAUGGCGACCGGCGCACGGGUGAGUAACACGUAUCCAACCUGCCGUCUACUCUUGGACAGCCUUCUGAAAGGAAGAUUAAUACAAGAUGGCAUCAUGAGUCCGCAUGUUCACAUGAUUAAAGGUAUUCCGGUAGACGAUGGGGAUGCGUUCCAUUAGAUAGUAGGCGGGGUAACGGCCCACCUAGUCUUCGAUGGAUAGGGGUUCUGAGAGGAAGGUCCCCCACAUUGGAACUGAGACACGGUCCAAACUCCUACGGGAGGCAGCAGUGAGGAAUAUUGGUCAAUGGGCGCAGGCCUGAACCAGCCAAGUAGCGUGAAGGAUGACUGCCCUAUGGGUUGUAAACUUCUUUUAUAAAGGAAUAAAGUCGGGUAUGUAUACCCGUUUGCAUGUACUUUAUGAAUAAGGAUCGGCUAACUCCGUGCCAGCAGCCGCGGUAAUACGGAGGAUCCGAGCGUUAUCCGGAUUUAUUGGGUUUAAAGGGAGCGUAGAUGGAUGUUUAAGUCAGUUGUGAAAGUUUGCGGCUCAA
rnacentral:rRNA from 1 species